rnacentral:sRNA from 12 species
CGGGGCUUGGAAUCAUGAUGCUGUGGGCCCCGCCAGCGUUUUAUCCGGCUAUCACGGGGAUCCUCGCAAGCCGGACGGUAUAGCUGCAUCAGCUCUAAAGUAGGCCGCUGGGGGUUAACUCACCACUGCCCCGGUGCUCCGAAUUUCAUGAGAGCUGAUGCACUACACGCCGCGAGGGGGUGGGUCGUGUUGGACGGCUCAGAAGGUGUAGACGCCG